CAUCAUCUCUAAUGAUAUCUGUAUGAUCUGUAGUGCACCAAUAUGGUACCUUGAUUUUGUUUCAGCAAUGCUAAUCAAUUCAAACAUUUGGAAAUUGCAAGAAUGAUUAUAUGUGACCAUGAAAAGGUUCGAGAUAAAUUGGCGCGAUCCCUAAUGCCUUAAGAAAGGCUCAUACAUCAUGUAGUUUAUGGUAACUGAGAUAGGAGAAAUAAAAAUUACAUAGGCUUUUGUUUCACAUCAAAAGUCGAAACUGAUCACAGUACAAUUGGCCUGAUCCCUAAUGCCUUAAGAAAAGCUCAUACAUCAUGUAGUUUAUGGUAACUGAGAUAGGAAAAAUAAAAAUUACAUAGGCUUUUGUGUGACAUCAAAAGUCAAAACUGAUCACAGUACGUGCAAAAUAUGAUCAAAGUGACUGAAGCUUUAGCAAUUUGCUAUGUGAGUUGUAUGUGCAACAUAUGAGUAAAUUCCUAGGAAAACAUAAUUGUGCUAGAAUUUUUUAGACAUGCAGCAGAUAAUAUCUUUGAUUUAAAGCCCAUAAUGCCUUGAAUUUGUGUAAAUUAUGUUUCUAUAGCUUAGGUUCUAGCAAUAGUUUUCCGAUUCUAUGAACUUCGUAUAGAUUCGGCAAAGAGAUAGUAGGUGACGAGUAACCUCCCUGAUUUGUUGUGCGGUAGCGUGGCUAUGAUGACCUGUUGUGUUGUGAUGUCAAUAACUAACUAUUGGACGAAAAAUAACUAAUGCUAGAAGCAAAGUGUUCACUAUGUUACAUAUAUAUUAUAUUCCUUCUGAAAUAAGAACUCUGAAAAUAAAUGUUUUGUCGAGAUCAAUAGUAACUAAGCGAGAUGAAGAGAUCAGCGUCAGUGUAUUGCAAAUUGUAUUAAUUAUUUAUGUCAGAAAUAUGUAUUUAUUGGAGCAUGUAAAUCCUUCUAUGUUUGGAGAAGCAAAGCUAACUACUUCAAAGCAGGUCAAUCCUUCUAUUUAUGUUGUAUUUAUGACAGAUACCGUGGAAUUGCAGGCUAGAUUCCUUCUAUUUUUUUCUUGAAGUUGAAGUGCUUCACAACUUACAAUUUUUUGGUUCUCUCUUUGAACGACUUCGGUUGUACAUACAGGGCAGAAGCACAUAUCACGGUGCCAUACUUUCUGCAUCCAUGUCGGUCAGUAUCAUGUGUUGGCUGUGAAAGAUCUCCGCCAACCCGGCUAUACACGCCACAUAUUACUUCAGUCUGAAGGCGUCGGGAUGGUACUGCUACAGAUAUAUAAUCUGCAGAUUAUGUUCAGUUUGCCUUUACCUAUGCUAGCCCACUUCCUAUGCGUCCUCAGUUUUACCAUGAAGUUCUCUGACGAUUGACACGUGUAACAGGUUUUUUCCCUGGUUCACAGCGGGCUCUUUACUGGGUUUUUUUGGUUGGGCCAGUCUCGCAUAUGCCGGUCUGACAAGCUUGCACGUUUUGAUUAAAGUAGAAGAUAUUUCUUCCCCCAUCAGCCGAGGAGGAUGUGGAUGCUUCGAGAGACCGGCAGACCGCCCCACCACUUUGUUGGAAUUAUGCCCUAGAGGCAAUA
rnacentral:lncRNA from 1 species